GCGCGUAGGCGGUCUGUUAAGUGUAGAGUGAAAUCUCCAGGGCUCAACCCGGAAACUGCUCUGCAUACUGGCAGACUUGAGGAUUGCAGAGGUUUGUGGAAUUCCCGGUGUAGCGGUGAAAUGCGUUGAUAUCGGGAGGAACACCCAUGGCGAAGGCAGCAAACUGGGCAAUAUCUGACGCUGAGGCGCGAAAGCGUGGGUAGCAAACAGGAUUAGAUACCCUGGUAGUCCACGCCCUAAACGAUGGAUACUAGGCGUAAGAGGUAUCGACCCCUCUUGUGCCGCAGCUAACGCACUAAGUAUCCCGCCUGGGGACUACGGCCGCAAGGUUGAAACUCAAAUGAAUUGACGGGAACCCGCACAAGCGGUGGAGCAUGUGGAUUAAUUCGAUAUUAACCGAAGAACCUUACCCAGACUUGACAUCGAUCGCAAGCCUUAGAAAUAGGGCCCUCUCUCACAAGGAGACGUGAAGACACUUGUUGCAUGGCUGUCGUCAGCUCGUGCCGUGAGGUGUACGGUUAAGUCCGCCAACGAGCGCAACCCUCGUCCUGUGUU
rnacentral:rRNA from 1 species